UCCCUGCUGGCUCAGAAGGUAAAGUGUUUGCCUGCAAUGCGGGAGACCCGGGUUCGAUUCCUGGGUUGGGAA
rnacentral:tRNA from 1 species